rnacentral:rRNA from 1 species
CGGAGGGUGCAAGCGUUAUCCGGAUUCACUGGGUUUAAAGGGUGCGUAGGCGGAUAGGUAAGUCCGUGGUGAAAUCCUGCAGCUUAACUGCAGAACUGCCAUGGAUACUCUCUAUCUUGAAUGUCGUGGAGGUUAGCAGAAUAUGUCAUGUAGCGGUGAAAUGCUUAGAUAUGACAUAGAAUACCCAUUGCGAAGGCAGCUAACUACGCGAUAAUUGACGCUGAUGCACGAAAGCGUGGGGAUCAAACAGGAUUAGAUACCCUGGUAGUCCACGCCCUAAACGAUGAUUACUCGACAUUGGCGAUACACAGUCAGUGUCUGAGCGAAAGCAUUAAGUAAUCCACCUGGGAAGUACGAUCGCAAGAUUG